rnacentral:tRNA from 2 species
AGCGGAGUAGAGCAGUAGGUAGCUCAUCGGGCUCAUAACCCGAAGGUCGUUGGUUCGAGUCCAACUUCCGCAA